rnacentral:tRNA from 1 species
GUCUUUGUAGUAUAACAUAAUACCCUGGUCUUGUAAACCAGGAAUGGAGAGUUCUCUCCCCAAGACA